UCGACCAUUCUCAUCACUUUCCCUCUUUCUCCAAACCGAAAACCCUCGCUCACUUCUGCAACUCGUCACCCGGAAUCACCCGCGGCCAGCAGUCAUCGUCGGAGCUCCAAUUCAGGAUGAGAUUCGGUGAGGGCUUUGAUCCGGUGAUAGAGGCUUCAGCUCUAUUCCAUCUGGUUGGUCUUGUAUUUGGUGGAAGAGGGGACACUGCAAGCUAGUACUGUUCAGGACAGUACAAAUUGAAGCUGCCAAACAGUUGGUGAAUGAAGUAUGUCUACUUGGUAUCUUUCUGCAUAUUUGGGUACUAUGUCUACCUGGUUCAUAUAGUUUUUCUAUAGCUUAGAAUGGUUAACCCUCCUAUUUUAUGACGGAAACAAAGUAAAGUUUGAAAGAGGCUAUAUGUGUACAGGGCUGUUGCCAUUGCCAUGAGGAUCCUGAACUGAUCUUUUAUUUUGUAAUUUAGUAAAAUAUGCUAUUGUUUUCUCCUUG